UUGCAACGCUAAUAUAUACUUUAUUCUGCAACUGGUCCAUCUCAUGGGAAGACAGAUUAUUGGCAACUUGAACCCUCCACACCCAUGACAACCAUAAAAGGAACGCAUCUCAUAUCGACGCAAAGUUGGGAGUUGCCGGGAAACGCAGGUUAUUCCAUACCACAAACAUUGUUCACUGGUACAAAACGGACAGACCGUUAAAACUGCGAGAAAUGUCACAAAUCGGCACCGUUACAUGGCAGAGUACAUUCCAAAGGGCAACAACACAUCACAAAAUUGUGGUACAAGGGCCGCCAGCCGUGAGAAGCAAAUGCAGAAGAAUAUUGAUGACCAAAAACCACUUCUUAUCUAGCUAGCUUCCUCCACACUGUGCGGCCACGGUUGAUCUCGUCCCCAUUGGCUGCAAAUCUUAAGCAAUGCAGGAACUGCUGCCGCUCUUCUUUGUGAGGCGCUGCGGAAGCAGAGCCGUUCAUGCUUUUCUCCUCUCCUUCCUCUAUGUAAGUAAGCGAAUCAACUAUGUCAUCAUGUUGACAUUCUCUUCUAUAGUCGAGAGUGAUUGUUUGUAACUCGUGUGUAUCAAUUAUAUCUUGAGGUAUACUCUGCAAUUUGGAAGGUAGACAAAGAACUAUUAGAAACCAUCGCAAAUCACACAAAGAUGCUAAUUCCAUCUAGAAGGGUAAAUAGUAAUAGUAAGGAACUAGCCAUUGCAAGCUCUACUCAGAUUAGAUAUCCCCACAAAAACCAAAGUUUAAAAAGUGGGAUCAGGAGUAAGAAAAGUCUAGUAGAACACUUACUUCCAGGACCCAACCAAUGUAAGUAACAUUAUUGACAUGUUGGUUCAUGUCCAGAUCAGCUCUUCUUGGCUGCAGUUUGGGAAUCAAUGUCUGUGAGCACUGAAAUAGUAGUAUUGGUGCGCUAAGAACUGGAUUAUACACGAAGGGGACAACUGACCACUAGUCCUAGUCUUGAGUAUUGUGCAGGAUCUGAAAGAUUCGGAAUCUUCUUCAAACUGCCAUUAUUUUCCUCUGGGAAUGCUAACCUGCAUAAUGGUAACUUGUUACAACUCUUAUAACUACAGCAUGAGAAUACAGUGACAAUCAUUACAAAAACUCAAUAACCAAAAAAAUUGCUGUUAGACUGAUUAUACGUAAAAGUUGUUCAAGCUAUUUCAAAUAUUCAGAUUAGCAUGAAUUCAUCCAAUGAACUACAGGUAACGACAGUUAAAUGACCCAACUGAGUGUAAAACUUCAAAGUUCAAAUAGUCAUGGGUUCCAAAAGGGCAGAGAGCUACUUGGGCACUUUUGACACAUGGAUGUAUGGAAAUAACAAGAGUGCAUGUCUAUGCAGAAUGUUGAGAACAAAAGUGAGUCGCUUUACCUUGGAGUCUUUGGACAAUGUAUAAACACCUCAUCCCUUACGUCAUCACUGACUCGCUGAAGUCUCCGUGUAUUUUGGUUCAUCAUGACCCACUUGCUAGAAAAUAAGCAAUAUGACUCGGUUACUUUUACUGUACACUGUGAUAAAAGAUACACAAAAUUUUGAACUAAAAGGUAAUAAGUAAUGAAUCUGAUAGGCCCAACACUGCUGCGCUGCUAAAGCAGCAUAAAUUAAUCCCAAUUCCUAAAUGUCAAGGGUGCUUUCAGUAGAGACAGCAAGAACAGAUAUGCCCAGCAUAUUCAAGUGAAUGCUAAGUGCAACCCAGAGGAACAGGCUUGAUAAAAUUGGCAGAAGUUUACUAUUCGCACCGAUCACCUAAAGGUCUACAUCACUCACCUAAGGAGGUGAGAAUGACUUUUUCUGUUUUUUGCUAGGAGAUAGAAAUGGGCGUGAAAUGUAACGGCUAACAUGCUAUCAGACUAAAAAAAAUAUGACACAGUGACUGACAAAUUUUAGGUCCUGCAUUACACUCAAGAAGCACUCAGCAAGUACCUGGUAGCUCUUCCAAUAACUUCACCAUUAGCCAGGUCCUUGAGGAUCCAAUCACGACGAGUACCAAUUCUUCCAUCUUCUUGGCACCAUGUUUCGAUCUCAACAACAUCACCCCUACCAGCAGCAGAGUUACCAGUCAGGAUCGAAUCUUACCAAAAAAGGGAAAAGGUGGGGAAAAAAAGGGUUCAAUGUAAGCUUGAAAAACUACCAGGCUGGGUACUUGUAGAUCUCAAUGUGCAUUCGAUUCGUCACCCAAAUAAGCCCAAGUUUUCUCAUUGUAGUAGUUGUGGCGAAGCCAUCAGUGGAGAACCCAACACUUUGUGCAUGGUUACAUCCUACCUCCUGUAUUUACGAAAAUGCUUACCGUUAAAGAUAUUGAAAAUUACAGGGAGUAAAAAAAAUAAGGAUACACUCGUUUAUAGUAUAUGCCUUGUAUAGAUGGCAGGAAUAUUGAUACUUAAAUCAGUUGAUAAAAUGGGAACACGUGGAGUUGCCCUUGUCCCAUUGGUGUGAUUUUAGAUUUUAAACUUGGAUCACAAACCAAUUCCACCACCACUAACUCCAGCGAUCUGAACCCAAUAUAAAACUUCGUUUGCGCAUGCCAAAGCAAGCACAUCCAGGAAAUUGGUGACAUCAAGUCGGCAACAACCACCCCUGCACGGCUGCACCCCCAUGUUCUUCUCAGUAGUCAGCCCUCAUGACUUAAUUCGCAGUUGCCUAUAGCCCAUAGGCAUAGGCAAUGCCUAUGAGAUAUUUCGGCACACUAAUUAAAGGCUCUUAUAGCUUCUCCCAGAGCUGGCAGACGAAGAAAGUUGCCCUAGGUUUUAUAGAAUUUUGCAGUGCCCAUUUUGUUGCAUGCACACUAGGGGCAAAUUUAUGUGAGCGAUUUGUCACUUAGCAACACUGACAAGACCGGGACAGUUAGCAUUUUAAUCCACCAAACACGAACUAAGCUACACCCUAGCUCUAACUGAGCAAAGGGCAUGACACAGAAUUGUGGAGUAACAAUAUUCCUCUUUCACAAUCCAAUCCUAGCACAGAAGAGGAGCUCCGAUUGUACCACAAGUUUGGAGCGUUCUAAGUUCAGAUCGAGACAUCCGACCUCUUGAAUCGAGGCAUAACCCGAAUCCAAUAAAUAAGCUUCACGCCACAAAUCUGGCCUCCGGAGAGCACAAAUCCGGGCUUUCGGAAGCAGAGAUCCCACGGCACGAGCUCGCGAGCGUACCUGGAGGAGAUUGGCGAUGGUCUCGACGGUGGCCGUCUUGUUGAUGCCCACCUCGUAGCAGCGCACGAUGAAGCUCUCCUUGUACGAGAGCCCGUCCUCCAGGAGGCUCCCCAGCCGCAGCCGCUCGGCCAGACUGGGCCGCGCGUCACCCCCUUCCGCCUUAGCCGCCGUGGCAGCCGCAUGGCCCGGCGACGCCGCCUCGAUCCCGGGCACCUGCGGCGCACCCCGCGCGCACCGCACCACCACCCCGGGCGCCGCCGCCGGAGGCGACUCCCGCCUUCCGUGGUGGCGGAGCGGCGCGCGGCCGCAUUGCGGUGGCGUGUGGCAGCGCAGCAUGGGGGCGGCCUCGUCCCUUCGAGGAGGAUCGUUGGCCGGCCGGCCGCCGCCGCCGCCGCCGCCGCAGCCGAUGCGGGGUUUUGGUUUACACGGGCGGAGCGGAGUGGGGUUGGCGCGGUGGGCAGCCAAGCCGGGCGCACUGCGCAUAUAGUGGAUAUGAAGAGGGGCCAGGGACGGUGGCGGGCGGUGGACCGGGCGCACGGGGCGAUACAAACGAGGUAUGAGGACGGGCUGGACGACGUGCUGGCAGUGGAGAACAGGAGGGAACGAAGAACUCUCUGGACCCGGUGCAUGCAGCGGCGGUGGUCCCCUACUGUAAAGGGGUGGUGAAUAUGCAGCGAGAAAACGAAAAUAAUAGUUUUCGAUUUUCGGAGAUCGUCUCCCAGUUUUUUUCGAUUUUCAGACCUAAAUAAAAAUAAAAGUGAUAAUAGAAAAAUAAAAAUAAAAAUAAUAAAAUAACCAGAAACGAAUAUAAAAAUGUUUUUCCCAUGUUCCGAUCAUUUCGAAAGUUACCGUAUUUACCUGAUAACUUACCCCGAUUUAAAGAUCUUGAAUCCUACAAACUAUAUAGGGUCUGUUUGGCACAGCUCACAAUAGCUUCAUGAGCUGUUGUAAGCUGUUAUUUUGCCAAACACUUAUUUUCAAAAUAGAUUUAUGGAUAAAGCUGUUUUUCUCCUCCUCUCACAAGGACAUAAGUGAGGAUAAAGCUAAAAAAGAGUAGCUUAUUACAGCUCUCUCCUUCAUCUCUCUUUCAAUUAUGCAUGAAGUAGUUGGUGAAGCUAUUUUGCCAAACACUUUUUUUUAAAACAGCUCAGCUUCAUCUAGAAAGUCACUCAUGAAACUAUUUUCUAAAAAAAAAAUUGAGUUGUGCCAAACAAAUCCAUAAUAUAUAUACUUUAGGUCCAGUUGACCUACAUCUAAGCAUGUCAUCUGCGUACACAAACAUAUAACACAUAUUUUUUCAAAAGGAAUUAUAUGUUGUACGUAUUUCGUUCGUAUGGGAACAAAAAGGUAAUCGUCCAAUCAUAUAUUGCAUCCGUGACUUUAGCUGGCAUAAACACUAAUAGGGUUUAGCUUGUUUGAGAUCUAAGAUGAUAUGAACUGUGGUUUUAACUUAUGGUCUUACCAAUUGUAGCUUUAUUUAUUAUUAUCAUGUGAGAUAGGUCAAGUUAUAUGGAUUCUGAAUACGUAUUUAUAUUUUUUUAGAACAUCAUUCUCAUAGAUUCUGAUCGUUAUCGAUGUAUUUUUCGAUCGACUGCUAACAUUUUAGAAUUUACUAGAAUAUCAGUGUCAUAUUCGUUUCCGACAAUAUCAUAUUGAUUUCAUUUUUGAGAAAAAAAUGUAAAUUGAAAUUUAUUUAGCCUCUUAUCGAUCGCUUCUGAUCGUUUUCAUCCCUAUGAUAUGGGUGUGUUUAGUUCCUAGCCUAUUUCCUAGGUAGCAGUCUAAGACUGGGUAGUUUAAAUCAUUUUUUAUGGAGCCAAUCUCUAGUUACUUGUUAGCUGCAUUGCUUAAUCCUGUUUAGUAAAGGAUAUGUUUGGUUGUCUCAUUUGCUUCGUAUAAAAUCUCCUCCUUUUAAGAUGGUAAUUUCACCCUCUUUAGGGCAUUUUGUUAAACAGGUGGAGGGCAUGCUUCAUCAUCGUCCUCUUCGUCUUGCUCCUCGUCGGCCAUCGUCUAUGGGUUCAUUCGUCGCGGGAGGUGUUCGUCUAUCUCCUUUCCCUCACGCUCAUCUUUCGCAACCGGUGUUCGUCUACAACCUCUCUCUCACGCUCACCAUCUGCAAUCGAUGUUCACCUCAUGCUUACCAUUGACGAGGGGAGGGUGUAGCACCUUGACUCUACCAAAGGUGCUUGUGUUCAUCUCCGACGAUGAGAUCUAACGCACUUUCAACCAUGGCACACGUGGAAGGAUGGAGGAUGACGACGCAUGCGGAAGGUAGAGGCCCACGUGGUGACGCAAUCCUGAGCACAAGCCUAGCUAGGGGAAAUGGCCAUCCACCUCAUUUCCACCUAGCUGGCUUGGGCAUGGUCGGUGCAUAACUACUUGAACCUGGUUUGUAGGCUUAUUCGGUCAUCCAAACAAGUACAAGUUGGGUCCAUAGAGCCUAGACAGUAGAGGAGGGAACUAGGGAACCAAACAACUCUCGUGUCAUCGUGCUAAUGCAUCAGCAUGUGUAUAGCACGAACAAAGAUGGCAACAAGACCAUUUUAGAUCGGGUAGAGUCUAUGUCUGAUCUGAGUCUAAAAUUAUUCUCAGAUGAUAAUUCAUCCUUGCUAUCAAAUUUAAUAUUUUCUCAAAACCUAAUUGGUUGUUAAAACCCUAAAACCCACCACUAUAUGUAAAUAUAAUAAAAGCGAUAGAGACUUCCUCGCAACAUACACAAUAUUAUAUAUAUUACUUACACACAUAAAGAGGGAACAAAUACCACAUAAUUUCAUGGCUCUACUUAAAACAAAUUUAAUAGCUUACAAAGAUAUGAAUUUUUAUUUAAAAUGACUACUUUGGACCUCUAUUGAGUAUCCGUGGAUGAAAACUGAAACCCGAAACAGAAUGCGCCAAAUUUUGGAUCCGCGAACCCAAAAAUUGUGGGAGAAAUUACACCCGACCUGCACCCACGGGACUCGAAACCACCCUACUAGCAUUCUUGCAUAGGGUACUCUCUCCAUUUGUAUAUUUAAAUAUAUUUACUAUAAAAAUAUAUGGCGUAUUGGCGUGGUUAAUCUAACUGCGGCUGUUAUUCUUACAGUUGCGGCUGGAACUGCAACUUGUACAUACAUAGCUAUGAGAUGCAGCCGCUGCAGACCCAGCCGCAAACCUAAAAAAAAAAAAAAAAAAAAAUUCAGAAGCGAGCAGGCUGGGCGUUAUUUGGUAUCAUAAUAUUAGGAUUAUUUUAAUAAUAUCUGUACUCCCUCCAUUCUAAAUUGAAAAUUGUUUUGUUUUUCAGAUAAAAAGCUUUUUUGCUAUGUAUUCAAAUAUCUAUUAUAUUUAUGUAUAUAGUAAAGAACUAUUAUGUAUUUUAAAAAGUCAAAAUAAUUUAUAAUUUCAAAUAAAGAGAAAAACUGAAAGAAUACUUUAGAGCACACUGCAGUAAACAGUGCCAAGCCUUCUCCUCCGCGGUAAAACGGGCAGACCGUUACAACUGCAAGGAAUGUCACAAAUCGGCAUCGUUACAUGGCAGAGUACAUUCCAAAGGGCAACAAUA
rnacentral:lncRNA from 1 species